rnacentral:lncRNA from 1 species
UCGUCAAAUUUGUUAUUAGUUUGUAAUCGAAUACAAGAUUUUCUCUCGUCAUCACCCUCGCAGUGUACCUCAUAGGUCUUUGCGCCGGAUGGCAGGUUGCCUUGCCACCAGCGCCAAAACUAGCGGCACGUCGAAGUUUUCUUGCUCACCCAUGUACCUCCUCUUCGCAUAAGUUGGCUAGUAUGGCUACUUUGAAAUUAUGGACUGGUGCCGCGCUGCCAACCUCCCCACCGCAGCAAAGACCUAGAAGGUCGACUGCGAGGAUAUACGAGGACAUAUACCAACAGAGAGAGAAUAAUUGCUGCAGAAAAAGUAAUUUUUGCCUGUAUGGAAGUCCACAAGCG